AUGUAUCCCAGCCAUUCUUUCAAUCAGCCUCCAGGGGCCUUGAAUUCAUCUGAGAAAUCAGCAAUGUUAUAUUCUUUUUCACCACCACCACCAUACCAGGCCAAUCCUGCUGGAUAUCCUCCCUCUUUUCCAAGCCAGCCGGUCCCCCAAGGCCCCUACGCCCAGGGGCCGCAUCCAGGACAACCCGUGGUUGCUGCUCAGCCUGCAGUAUUUGUGACAACCACUCCAAUGGCUAGUCUAGUGCCAGAUUACUUGGGUUACUCUAUUUUCACCAUGCUGUGCUGCUGUUUUCCUCUGGGCAUUGCUGCACUUGUUUUCUCCUUCUCUACUCGAAAUGCCAACUUCGCAGGACAGCGAGCAUUAGCAGAGAAGAAUUCUAAUACGGCGCUCAACCUGAAUCAUGCUGUGCUGCUGUAUGCCUCUGGGAUCAGCUGCCCUUGUUUACUCCCUCACAGUAAGUAUUGCAUUUACAUACAUUAUGCAUUUAGGAAAUUAUAUUUUCCAAAGUGACUUACAGUGCAUUCGGGCUAUUUGUGUGUAUGUGUGUGUAAGUAUUAGUUCAUGUACCUGUCUUAUAUAUUUCAUUUAACAUAUACUGUACUUGUCUUUUGUAUAUAGAGUAUAUUUGCAGUGCAUUCUGAAAGUAUUCCGACCCCCUUCACAUUUUCAAUUUUGUUAUGUUGCAACCUGAUAUACAAUUGUUUUUUGUUUUUUUGUUUUUUUUUUACACUACGUACCUCUUAAUGACAAGGUGAGAACUGAAUUUUAGAAAUGUCUGCUAACUUAUUUCAAGAAAAAACUGAAGUAUCACAUUUAUAUAAGUAUUCAGACCCUUUACUCUGUAAUGAGUUGAAGCACCUUUGGCAGGAAUUACAGCCUUAAGUCUUUUUGGGUAUGGCACAACAAGCACAGAGAGUCAGGAUUGUUUAUUUACUGGUGAUUUAACUUCAUGGAUUGAUGUUGAUAUUUUUUAUUCUAACUUUAUUUUUAACAUUAAUUUAUUGGCCUUUUUUUACCUUUCUUCAUGCAUUUACAAGAAGUGAAUUGUUCCAAUGUUUUUUUAAUGUAAAAAAAAAAAAUAACAACUGACAAUAUUUCAACCGCAUUUCAACAUUAAAGGUUAGUCUUAUGCUGACUGGGUUACAUCUAAUGCUGAUGCAUGCUCACUCAAGAUUUUGCUUAUUUCUAACUAUUCUUGACAUGCUCAGAUUAUUUACAGCAUGUGAAGCAUGACAAGUGUCUCUCGAUAUAUUUGUGCAAUCCAGAAAUCCAGUUUUGUUGCUUCUUGUAACUUUUUGUUUACAGAAAAAAGAGGUGAGGCACCAAAGAAAAAAAAAAGUGAAAAAUUGUGUGUUAGUUUAUGCCUUGGUUACCUCUUAUGAAAAGAAGUCGCAAAUAUUUUUAGUUCAUUCUUCCAUCCGCUUAAAUGGAGUUUAAGCAUCAAAUACUUACAUCUAAGAAAACGUUUUCAUAAAACAAUAAGGUUAUUUACCAAAAAGUCUAGGUUUAUUUCCUUCAUCAAUACUCCAACUUGAAUAGAGACCACAGUCAAAUGUGUAAUGAUGUUAUUUUGGAAUGAAGCCAGUUUUGAAAUUUCAAAGAAAAUUUCUGAACAAGUUCACACUAGAAGAAGAUUUAAAUAUCUUUCUUACAGAACCUGCAUGAAUUGUUCUUCCAGAUAAAUCUUUUGUGUGGAUAAAUUUAAUUUGGGAUUGAAAUGGCACAUCUUUGCCAUUAGGAAAGAUUGGAUUAAUAUUGUUUGUUUUCUGCUUGGAUAAUAUUUUUCUAAUAAAUGUAUCUGUAAACUGAUGAUGCAGAACAGAUGUUUGGAGGGAACGUGGGAUACAAACUAUUAAUUUGCUUUAUUACAAGUCAUUGUACUGUAUGACUAGAAUGAAUUGAAACUGAUUUAAAAAGUUAAUAAUAAAUAACUAAAUAGCUCAAUUUAACCAAAUAGAUGUCACCAGAUAAAUC
ensembl:lncRNA